rnacentral:rRNA from 1 species
CCAGACUCCUACGGGAGGCAGCAGUGGGGGAUAUUGCACAAUGGGGGAAACCCUGAUGCAGCGACGCCGCGUGGGCGAAGAAGUAUUUCGGUAUGUAAAGCCCUAUCAGCAGGGAAGAAGAAAUGACGGUACCUGAGUAAGAAGCACCGGCUAAAUACGUGCCAGCAGCCGCGGUAAUACGUAUGGUGCAAGCGUUAUCCGGAUUUACUGGGUGUAAAGGGAGCGCAGGCGGCACGGCAAGCCUGAUGUGAAAGCCCGCGGCCCAACCGCGGGACUGCAUUGGGAACUACCGGGCUGGAGUGCCGGAGAGGGAGGCGGAAUUCCUGGUGUAGCGGUGAAAUGCGUAGAUAUCAGGAGGAACACCGGUGGCGAAGGCGGCCUGCUGGACUGCGACUGACGUUGAGGCCCGAAAGCGUGGGGAGCAAACAGGAUUAGAUACCCCUGUAAAG